rnacentral:rRNA from 1 species
CUAGCAACGGAGAGUGAAGAGGGAAAAGCUCAAAUUUAAAAUCUGGCGGUCUACGGCCGUCCGAGUUGUAAUCUAGAGAAGUGUUUUCCGCGCUGGACCGUGUACAAGUCCUUUGGAACAAGGCGUCAUAGAGGGUGAGAAUCCCGUCUACGACACGGACUGCCAAGCGCUUUGUGAUACACUCUCAACGAGUCGAGUUGUUUGGGAAUGCAGCUCAAAAUGGGUGGUAAAUUCCAUCUAAAGCUAAAUAUGGGCGAAAGACCGAUAGCGAACAAGUACCGUGAGGGAAAGAUGAAAAGCACUUUGGAAAGAGAGUUAAACAGUACGUGAAAUUGUUGAAAGGGAAACGCUUGAAGUCAGUCGCGUCUUCAGAAAUUCAGCUGGGCUUCUGCCCUGUGUACUUUUCUGUGGGACGGGCCAGCAUCAGUUUCGGCUGCCAGAAAAAGGUGGGAGGAAGGUGGCACCUCCGGGUGUGUUAUAGCCUCCGAUCGUAUGUGGCAGCUGGGACUGAGGACCGCAGCACGCCUUCAUGGCCGGGGUUCGCCCACGUAACGUGCUUAGGAUGCUGGCGUAAUGGCUUUAAGCGACCCGUCUUGAAACACGGACCAAGGAGUCUAACAUGCCUGCGAGUAUUUGGGUGGCAAACCCAUAUGCGCAAUGAAAGUGAACGGUUGGGACUUCUGUCAUGGAAGGCACCGACGCCCGGACCAGACCUAUUGUGACGGAUCCGAGGUAGAGCAUGUAUGUUGGGACCCGAAAGAUGGUGAACUAUGCCUGAGUAGGGUGAAGCCAGAGGAAACUCUGGUGGAGGCU